GUCCGUGUUAGACACAGUGCCUG
rnacentral:siRNA from 1 species